AACGUAGGAGACAAACGUUAUCCGGAGUUACUGGGCGUAAAGGGCGUGUAGGUGGUUUUGUAAGUCUGGCGUGAAAUUUUUCGGCUUAACCGGGAAAGGUCGUCGGAUACUGCAAGGCUAGAGGACGGUAGAGGCGUGUGGAAUUCCGGGUGUAGUGGUGAAAUGCGUAGAUAUCAGGAGGAACACCGGUGGCGAAGGCGGCUUUCUGGACAGAUACCGACGCUGAGGCACGAAAGCUAGGGGAGCAAACAGG
rnacentral:rRNA from 1 species